rnacentral:rRNA from 1 species
GUGUCAGCCGCCGCGGUAAUACGAAGGGGGCUAGCGUUGUUCGGAAUUAUUGGGCGUAAAGCGCACGUAGGCGGACGCUUAAGUCAGGGGUGAAAUCCCGGGGCUCAACCCCGGAACUGCCUUUGAUACUGGGUGUCUUGAGUAUGGAAGAGGUAAGUGGAAUUCCGAGUGUAGAGGUGAAAUUCGUAGAUAUUCGGAGGAACACCAGUGGCGAAGGCGGCUUACUGGUCCAUUACUGACGCUGAGGUGCGAAAGCGUGG